GUCUAUAUGGAAUAAAUAUAUAGUCUAACCUGCUCACUGACAGAUAUUGUUUAAUAGCCGCGGUAUUUUGACCGUGCAAAGGUAGCAUAAUAAUUAGUUUUUUAAUUGUAAACUUGUAUGAAAGGUUGAACAAAGGAGAAGCUGUAUCUAUUAUAAAUUUUGAAGUUGACUUUUGAGUGAAAAGGCUUAAAUGUUUUAGAAAGACGAUAAGACCCUAUAAAGCUUUAUAUAUUAAUAAUAAUUUAGUAAAAUUUAUAUAAAAUUAUGUUGUUAUUGUUUUAUUUUAUUGGGGCGAUAUAAAUAUAAUUUAUUUAACUGUUUGGUUGAAAUACAUUGUAUAUAUGUUUGAUAUUAUAAUUGAUCCUUUUUAAAGAUUAAGAGUCUAAGUUACUUUAGGGAUAACAGCGUUAUUUUUCUUGAGAGUUCAUAUCGAAAGAGAAGUUUGCGACCUCGAUGUUGAAUUAAAUUAUCUAUGUAAUGAAGAAGUUACAAGAGAAGGUCUGUUCGACCUUUAAAUGUUUACAUGAUUUGAGUUCAGACCGGCGUGAGCCAGGUCGGUUUCUAUCUUCUAAGAUAAAAAAGUUAUUUUAGUACGAAAGGACCAAAUAAUUAAAAUAUUUUUAUAGUGUUGACA
rnacentral:rRNA from 1 species